UACAGAGGUCCCAAGCGUUGUUCGGAAUCACUGGGCGUAAAGGGUGCGUAGGCGGCGCGGAAAGUCAGGGGUGAAAUCCCGGAGCUCAACUCCGGAACUGCCUUUGAUACUCCCGCGCUUGGAGAACUGGAGGGGAGACCGGAAUUCACGGUGGAGCAGUGAAAUGCGUGGAUAUCGUGAGGAACACUAGUGGCGAAGGCGGGUCUCUGGACAGUAUCUGACGCUGAGGCACGAAGGCCAGGGGAGCGAACAGG
rnacentral:rRNA from 1 species